CGAGAUGCCUCUCUUAUCAGGCGAAAUGGAACCUUCGACAAGUCCUAUUUUCCCUGAUCAGGAAGGCAUUCUCCGUUUAACGCGCCGACCCCCACUAAACGUCCAUCGGUGGAUUCAG
rnacentral:sRNA from 1 species